rnacentral:rRNA from 1 species
GACGAACGCUGGCGGUGUGCUUAACACAUGCAAGUGGAGCGACGAACCAGGGCUUGCCCUGGGGCAGAGCCGCGAACGGGUGAGUAACACGUGGGUAACCUACCCCGAUGACUGGGACAACCCGAGGAAACUCGGGCUAAUACCGGAUGUGUCCGACGUCCACGAGGACGUCGAGCAAAGGAAGCUUCGGCCUCCGCAUCGGGAGGGGCCCGCGGCCCAUUAGCUUGUUGGUGGGGUAACGGCCUACCAAGGCUGCGAUGGGUAGCUGGUCUGAGAGGACGAUCAGCCACACUGGGACUGAGACACGGCCCAGACUCCUACGGGAGGCAGCAGUGGGGAAUCUUGCGCAAUGCGCGAAAGCGUGACGCAGCAAUGCCGCGUGGGGGAUGAAGGUCCUCGGAUCGUAAACCCCUGUCGACCGGGACGAAGGUAUCCGACCUAACACGUCGGCGUAUUGACUGUACCGGUGGAGGAAGCCACGGCUAACUCUGUGCCAGCCGCCGCAGUAACAC